UACGUAGGGCGCAAGCGUUAUCCGGAAUUAUUGGGCGUAAAGAGCUUGUAGGCGGUUUGUCGCGUCUGCCGUGAAAAUCCGGGGCUCAACUCCGGGCCUGCAGCCGAUACGGGCAGACUAGAGUUCGGCAGGGGAGACUGGAAUUCCUGGUGUAGCGGUGAAAUGCGCAGAUAUCAGGAGGAACACCGGUGGCGAAGGCGGGUCUCUGGGCCGAUACUGACGCUGAGGUGCGAAAGCGUGGGGAGCAAACAGG
rnacentral:rRNA from 1 species